GUGAUUCUAUCCUGCUUAUAAUAGGAUGUUUAUAGCAGUAUAAAUAUAAGUGGUACAAAAAUCCCACAGACAGACAAGAUCCUUUGUUAUUUCUCCCACAUAUCAAACAGUUGCCGGUGCCUGACUGUAACCCUGUGGGACCCAGUAGCACACAAUGCGUCUCAGCAUCACCUUCAUCCUCCUCCUCCUCCUCACUGUGACCUGCAGCAGUGCCCUCCAUUGUUAUCUUAAGAUAAAUAGAAAGAACAACCCCACGGAAUGUACUGGGGGUACUACUCGUUUAUGGUCCAUGCCCUUGUCAUCAAGGGCUACGCAACUGAUUUGCUGUGUAAAAAUAUCCAGAAAUCGAAUAUUGCCAGUGUAAAAUAUUGCUGUAACACCUACUUGUGCAACAAGUGAGCACACCAAUUGGCUGCAGUGCCUCCAGCUGAAAUGCAUCAUUCUAAAGAAAGUGCAGAUAUCUCCUGAUCAUCUCCAGAUAUUGUGUUCAUCCAUCUAUUGUACAGCACUGCGGCACAUGUUGAUGCUUUUUAGCAUUAUAAUAAAAUGAAAGCAUAAUAAUA